GGGGAUGUAGCUCAGUUGGCUAGAGCGCUUGACUGGCAGUCAAGAGGUCGUGGGUUCGACUCCCAUCUUCUCCA
rnacentral:tRNA from 5 species